CUCCUACGCGAGGCAGCAGUGGGGAAUCUUGCGCAAUGGACGAAAGUCUGACGCAGCCACGCCGCGUGAGUGAAGAAGGCCUUCGGGUUGUAAAGCUCUGUCGGGCGGGACGAAAAUACUUCGGGUUAAUACCCCGAGGAGUUGACGGUACCGCCAAAGGAAGCACCGGCUAACUUCGUGCCAGCCGCCGCGGUAAUAC
rnacentral:rRNA from 1 species